GACGAACGCUGGCGGCGUGCUUAACACAUGCAAGUCGAACGGGACGUCCCUGCUUUUGUGGGGUGCUCUAGUUGCGAACUGGUGAGUAACCCUUGAGUUCCCUGCCCUUGCCUUUGGGAUAACUUCAUGACACUUGGUCUAAUACCGGCUAGGAUCUCCUGCUUCUUGGUGGGGGUUGGAUGGUUUCGGCGGUUGGUGAUGGACUCGCGUCUUAUCAGCUUGUUGGUGGGGUAGUGGCUUACCAAGGCCUUGACCGGUAGCCGGGCUGCGCGGGUGACCGGACACAUUGGGACGGAGAUACGGCCCAGACUACUACGGGAGGCAGCAGUGGAGAAGAGUGCACAAUGGGCGGAAGGCUGAUGCAGUCAAGCAGCGUGCGGGAUGAGGGCAAUCGGGUUGUAUUCCGAUUUCGCCUGUGACGAAGCGUGAGUGACGGUAAUGGGUAAAGAAGCACCGGCUAACUACGUG
rnacentral:rRNA from 1 species